AUUUGGUGCAAGUCUGGUUAAUUCAUGCCUGGGCCCAUCCUACCAAAAUCAACCUAGUAAUUGUGGCACAACAUAUUUUGUUUUUCAUAUUUCAUUAUCUCUUAGGUAAUUUUCAAAGACUAUGUCAGCUGCCAACAUCAACCAAAUGUCCUCAAUGUGAACUUGACAGUGGCCUGUGAGUUCACAAAGGUCUCGUUCCAGGAAUGUGAUUCUCAUUACCAUGAUGUGAGAGAGAAACUGCUUAAAGAUAUUUGGCAAACAUUCUGUGGACAUUUGCAAAAGCAGGAACAAAACCAACCAAGAAGCAACCUUAGAACUUCAGUUUGAAAUCCAGAUCAUCCGCAGUAGGAGCCUAAAAGAAUUUCAGGAAAAGAUUUAAGGUGGUAGGAAACUGUAUUUUAAAUGUAGAGAAGUUACAUGUAACCCAAAUAAUUUCACAGUACCUCACACUUACUUAGUCUAUGUUUUGGUUACUUUGGAUAGAGCCAUACACCUAGAGAGUUUUUAUAUUUUGAUGUUCAGAGAAAUCAGAAAAAGCUUCAUGGAGGAGGUGGCAACAGAG
rnacentral:lncRNA from 1 species